rnacentral:rRNA from 1 species
AUUGAACGCUGGCGGUAUGCUUAACACAUGCAAGUCGAACGGCAGCAUGGUCUAGCUUGCUAGACUGAUGGCGAGUGGCGGACGGGUGAGUAACGCGUCGGAAUAUGCCUUGAAGAGUUGGACAACUUUGGGAACAUCAAGCUAAUACCGCAUGUACUCGAGAGAGUAAAGCUGGGGGCCUUUAGGCCUGCCGCUUUAAGAUUAGCCUGCGUCCGAUUAGCUAGUUGGUAGGGUAAAGGCCUACCAAGGCGACGAUCGGUAGAUGGUCUGAGAGGAUGAUAAGCCACACUGGAACUGAGGGACGGUCCAGAAUCCUACGGGAGGCAGCAGUGGGGAAUAUGGGACAAUGGGGGGAACCCUGAUCCAGCAAUGCCGCGUGUGUGAAGAAGGCCUGAGGGUUGUAAAGCACUUUCAGUGGGGAGGAGGUUUGGAAGGUUAAGAGCUAUUCAAAUGGACGUUACCCACAGAAGAAGCACCGGCUAACUCCGUGCCAGCCGCCGCCGUAA